AGAGGUCACACCCGUUCCCAUACCGAACACGGAAGUUAAGCUCUCUAGCGCCGAUGGUAGUUGGGACCUUGUCCCUGUGAGAGUAGGACGUCGCCAAGCA
rnacentral:rRNA from 1 species